rnacentral:rRNA from 1 species
AUUGAACGCUGGCGGCAGGCCCAACACAUGCAAGUCGAGCGGCAGCGGGAAAGUAGCUUGCUACUUUUGCCGGCGAGCGGCGGACGGGUGAGUAAUGCCUGGGGAUCUGCCCAGUCGAGGGGGAUAACUACUGGAAACGGUAGCUAAUACCGCAUACGCCCUACGGGGGAAAGCAGGGGACCUUCGGGCCUUGCGCGAUUGGAUGAACCCAGGUGGGAUUAGCUAGUUGGUGAGGUAAUGGCUCACCAAGGCGACGAUCCCUAGCUGGUCUGGGAGGAUGAUCAGCCACACUGGAACUGAGACACGGUCCAGACUCCUACGGGAGGCAGCAGUGGGGAAUAUUGCACAAUGGGGGAAACCCUGACGCAGCCAUGCCGCGUGUGUGAAGAAGGCCUUCGGGUUGUAAAGCACUUUCAGCGAGGAGGAAAGGUUGGUAGCUAAUAACUGCCAGCUGUGACGUUACUCGCAGAAGAAGCACCGGCUAACUCCGUGCCAGCCGCCGCGGUAACAC